GCGCGGCGGCGCGCCGCGCGUGAAUCUCCUUGUCGAGGAGGUUCACCAUGCGCAGUGUUCCGAUCGCUGUCCGCGCC
rnacentral:tRNA from 2 species